UUCAAGAUUUGCUCACAAAAAAGCGUUUUACAUUUUCGAAAAUCGACAAGUGCUUCUAAAAGGCUUUUUAAAAUGCAAAACGCAUUAUCUUAAGAUAAAAAGUGCAUUGAAUCAAUAUUAUGUCUUUUUGAUUGUUUAUAAAAUGUUACAAGAUGGCUUUGAAUUUAAUGAAUCUACGACCAUCGGAAAUAUAUUUUUCUCAAGAUUCGAUUUACAAUUUUUUUAGGCAUCAUGAAAGCAAAAUGAUCGGAGAGACGUUAGAUGACAUAUGCGAAGGAAGGAUUACGAUUGAAGAUCUUCCAAAGAUAGAGGUUGCGAAGCAUGAUGAGAAAUGGGUUACAAAUGACAACCGACGCCUGUGGGUGUUUAAGCAGCUGGAGCGAUUGGGUAAAUGUGAAACUGUAGAAGUUUGGAUAGUGUCUAGUGUUUGCCAAAUAAAGCUUACCACGAACAACGGCGGUGAGUCAAUCAAGGUUCGUGGAUUUCCCGGAGGAAUAUGGCAUUUGAAGGCGUCAAAAACUAGUUUGGACUAAAACAAACUACUUUCGCGCAGCCUUUGAAUUGUUGACAAAACUUGCCAUUCAUGUAUACCAAUGUAACAAUAUCCUUACCGCAACGCAUUAAAGGUGUUUGAUAAGUAUCGAGCGCUUAGUUACUCCCAAAGUACUGUCCAAACAUUAAAAUUAGGAACGAUGUGAAAAAAUGUCAUUGUGGAUGUAGGUUUCAUAUUAGAAUGUAUGUUUUUCUUUAUCUGUAUUUGGUUCGUGUAUUUUUAUUGAUACAUUCUAAUUGCUUGAAAAUGUAAUAAAUACAUAAAUCUUU